GGACAGGAAAAGAGUUUGUAGUAAAAAAAACUGCUGGUAACUGAGGCACCUCUCUUCUGGCUUUAUGAUCACUGUGCAACCAGGCUUAAAUGUUGUGGGAGAAAGUUGCACCAGCUCGUUUCCAGCCAUGGUACCCCAAAGACAGGUGGUGGCUGAAUUCAGAGCAACUGGCUUAUGGCAACCCCCAUCACAGUAUGAUAGACUGACAGAACUCCCACCCCCAUGGAGUCCUGCAUGGAGCUGGGCUGGAGAAUUACAUGGGAAAGGAAUGGGCCUUGGCCAGUGAUCAGGUGCAGACUACAAAUAGCCCUCCAUGUCAUGUCGUAUAUGCACUGAACAAUGCUAUUGCAAUGCAUAUGCCCAAAGGGGCACAGCUAAAAUGACCAGCCAAGGAUUAUUUAUUUUCAACUGUGCAUUUGUUUUCUCUUUUCCUGGAUUUUUCCCCGUUUUCCUUUCCUGUGCUAUAUAAUACAGAAGUGAAAGGUUUUUUGUUGCCUUAUUUUUAAGGGGAUUCUUUUUCCUGCUCCUUUUUCUGCUCUCGAUGGGUAAUUAUGCCCCUCUCCUCACCGUGGUAUCUAAAUGUCUUCCAGUGGUGCAUUA